AUUGAACACUGGCGGCAUGCUUUACACAUGCAAGUCGAACGGUAACAGGGAGCUUGCUCCGCUGACGAGUGGCGAACGGGUGAGUAAUGCGUCGGAACGUGCCGAGUAGUGGGGGAUAACGCAUCGAAAGGUGUGCUAAUACCGCAUACGAACUGAGGCUGAAAGUGGGGGACCUUCGGGCCUCACGCUAUUCGAUCGGCCGACGUCAGAUUAGCUAGUAGGUGAGGUAAAGGCUCGCCUAGGCGACGAUCAGUAGCGGGUCUGAGAGGAUGAUCCGCCACACUGGGACUGAGACACGGCCCAGACUCCUACGGGAGGCAGCAGUGGGGAAUUUUGGACAAUGGGCGCAAGCCUGAUCCAGCCAUGCCGCGUGUCUGAAGAAGGCCUUCGGGUUGUAAAGGACUUUUGUCUGGGAGCAAAUACCCGGUGUUAAUAGCGCCGGGGGCUGAGGGUACCAGAAGAAUAAGCACCGGCUAACUACGUGCCAGCCGCCGCCGUAAAAC
rnacentral:rRNA from 1 species